rnacentral:rRNA from 1 species
CCUACGGGUGACAGCAGUGGGGGAUAUUGGACAAUGGGGGGAACCCUGAUCCAGCGACGCCGCGUGAGUGAAGAAGUAUUUCGGUAUGUAAAGCUCUGUCAGCAGGGAAGCAAGAAAUGACGGUACCUGAGUAAGAAGCCCCGGCGAACUACGUGCCAGCAGCCGCGGUAAUACGUAGGGGGCAAGCGUGAUCCGGAAUUACUGGGUGUAAAGGGAGCGUAGACGGUAAUGCAAGUCUGGAGUGAAAGGCGGGGGCCCAACCCCCGGACUGCACUGGAAACUGUGUAACUGGAGUGCAGGAGGGGCAGGCGGAAUUCCUGGUGUAGCCGUGAAAUGCGUAGAUAUUAGGAGGAACACCAGUGGCGAAGGCGGCCUGCUGGACUGUAACUGACGUUGAGGCUCGAAGGCGUGGGGAGCAAACAGGAUUAGAUACCCGAGUAGUC